rnacentral:rRNA from 1 species
GAUGAACGCUGGCGGCGUGCCUAACACAUGCAAGUCGAACGGAAAGGCCCAAGCUUGCUUGGGUACUCGAGUGGCGAACGGGUGAGUAACACGUGGGUGAUCUGCCCUGCACUUCGGGAUAAGCCUGGGAAACUGGGUCUAAUAUCGGAUAGGACCACAUUUUGGAUGGUGUGGUGGAAAGUUUUUCGGUGUGGGAUGAGCUCGCGGCCUAUCAGCUUGUUGGUGGGGUAAUGGCCUACCAAGGCGUGGACGGGUAGCCGGCCUGAGAGGGUGUACGGCCACAUUGGGACUGAGGUGCGGCCCAGACUCCUACGGGAGGCAGCAGUGGGGAAUAUUGCACAAUGGGCGCAAGCCUGAUGCAGCGACGCCGCGUGGGGGAUGACGGCCUUCGGGUUGUAGACUCCUUUCGCUAGGGACGAAGCGUUAUGUGACGGUACCUGGAGAAGAAGCACCGGCUAACUACGUG